rnacentral:tRNA from 1 species
ACUGGCCUUCCACCGAACCCACCUUCUCUCCGCCCUACUCUGUCUUGAGGGUAUGAUACUCUCCUUAUU